rnacentral:rRNA from 1 species
UGGGGAAUAUUGCACAAUGGAGGGAACUCUGAUGCAGCGACGCCGCGCGAGUGAUGAAGGAAUUCGUUUCGUAAAACUCUGUUCUAUGGGAAGAAAAGGACUGUACCAUAGGAGAAAGCUCCGGCUAAAUACGUGCCAGCAGCCGCGGUAAUACGUAUGGAGCGAGCGUUGUCCGGAAUUAUUGGGCGUAAAGGGUGCGCAGGCGGCUUUACAAGUUGGAUGUGAAAUAUUGUGGCUCAACCACAAACGUGCAUCCAAAACUGCAAAGCUUGAGUUAAGGAGAGGUAAGUGGAAUUCCUGGUGUAGCGGUGGAAUGCGUAGAUAUCAGGGGGAGUACCGGUGGCGAAGGCGACUUACUGGACUUAAACUGACGCUCAGGCACGAAAGCGUGGGGAGCAAACAGG